GGGCCUGUAGCAUAGCCUGGAUAGUGCGGCCGGCUUCGGACCGGUAUACUCCGGUUCGAAUCCGGGCAGGCUCA
rnacentral:tRNA from 1 species